rnacentral:rRNA from 1 species
AGAGUUUGAUCCUGGCUCAGGACGAACGCUGGCGGCGUGCUUAACACAUGCAAGUCGAGGGGGCCCAGCAAUGGGUCACCGGCGAACGGGUGCGUAACACGUGAGCUACCUACCGAGUUGUGGGGAAUAGCCGGCCCAACGGCCGGGUAAUACCGCAUACGCUCUCUUUGGGGCAUCCUGAGGAGAGGAAACGCUUGCGGCAAUUCGAGGGGCUCGCGGCCUAUCAGCUAGUUGGUGAGGUAACGGCUCACCAAGGCGAUGACGGGUAGCUGGUCUGAGAGGACGGCCAGCCACACGGGGACUGAGACACGGCCCCGACUCCUACGGGAGGCAGCAGCAAGGAAUUUUCCGCAAUGGGGGAAACCCUGACGGAGCAACGCCGCGUGCGGGAUGACGCUUUUCGGAGUGUAAACCGCUUUUCUGGGGGAUGAUGGAGGACAGUACCCGAGGAAGAAGGCCCGGCUAACUACGUGCCAGCAGCCGCGGUAAUAC